AUUUUAUUUUUGGCUUUAUAAUUAUUGUUAAUUUUAUCUUAUUUAUUUUAUAUAGAAACAUGAUGUGGAUUUUUACAUCAACGGCCACGAUCACUGCUUACAACGCAUCGGAAGCAUCGAUAGCAAAUUGGAGUUUUUAACGAGCGGAGGCGGAUCUAAGGCUUGGCGGGGAGACGUUAAAGGAUGGAAUCAAGAGGAAUUGAAAUUCUAUUACGAUGGACAAGGAUUCAUGUCAAUUGAAUUGAACAAAAAAGAAGUGGAAUUUGUGUAUUAUGAUGUUUUUGGGAAUGUGUUGCAUAAAUUUAGUGUGUCAAAGGACUCUUGUGUAAGUAGUCAAUAGAGGUAAAAAAAACGUGGACUUGUAUCAUAACACGGAUAUCUACCCUGUCCCACGCAAAUCGUUUACCUGUAACUAUUCAAUACCCCUACGAAAAAUUGAUCACAUCGGAACGUUUCCGAGGCCGAAUACACUUUGAAUUUGAUAAAUGCAUUGCUUGUGAAGUA